UCUAUCAUUAGCUCUGGUCACCAUGCAGGACACAGACAUGAAGAGCUGGUUACAAAGCUCCUGUUCAGCAGGCUUUUAAACGGAGGUCUAGUGUACCUACAUAUUCUAUAAGGCAGAAUAUUUUAUAGACGUUUCAACUUCAAAUUAUAAUUCAAAUUAUAAUUAUAAUUAUUCUUUGAACAGUUACUGGUUACAGGCCAUUCUUGAGAUGAAGAGCCGAUGAGCGGGCGAUCUGAGCUAAGAGCUGGUGCAAUCCUGUGAAACUGCUGUGAAUGCACGAUUGAGUAGUGGACCGCGUGUCUGGGGACGACCGUGCCAUUAGGCAUUAUAUCACCUACACCAGAAUCUGCCGCUGUACUUUAAAUGGGCUAGGCUGACAAUGUUGAAACUCUAUCUCAUAAAUAUCUUUGUACAUUU